GAUUACUUACUUUCAAUAGGACCAAGUGCUUGCAAUUCUUAAAAGGAUGGAAAUUAUUUGAGAAGGUGGUCAUAAGAAGAAGCAAAUGUGAACCUGUGUUUCAUGUUACAAAACAAGUAGCAGCUAAGAAGGAAAAACCAGAAUCUUGCUGCUCUGAAUCGGAUUUGAUAGUGAUUCCGAGAAACUGCUGCUACAUCUAAAAAGGUUGCAGCUCCUUUAACUAAGAAUGGAAAUUUCAAGAAGAA